GCACUCAGUAUUAACAACGUCUCUGACACUGGCAAACAUGAUUUUUCUGGAUAUGAACCCCCUCUGCCCCUGUAUAUGAGCUUCUCUUCAUGUCAUACAUGUCCCUCUUGACUAAGGUAAUGAAGGUGAACCUCUUCCUGCCAGGAUUUUCAUGUGGAAGUCUGUCAGCUUGUGAUCACCCAAAUACAGAUAAAGGAAACAUGUUUUCCUCUUUUGUUGAUGUCAAAGAUACUAUGGGCCAAUGGGAAGCAUCAUGGGUAAUAACACUAAAAGCAAGAUGUAUAUCCUUUCCCUGAAGUACCCUCACUGGUGACAUCAUUAUCAACUAGGGUGGCAUAGAGAAAACCUGGCAUCUACCUUCUACUAUGCACGUUACUGAGGUCCCCCUAAACUCCAUGGCCAAUACAAUAGAGAUGCUUCAGGUUAUGUUUGAGAACUUUGUUGCUAUACAGGCAGCCCUGUUACUGAAUACCUUUUGUCACACCACUCUAUUGUGAUGGACUCUGAUAACCGUAUCACCGACAGUAUGGAUUUAUGGGGCUUAUGCCCUACCACACGUCUGGACUUGGAAGGUUGUUACAGACUUCCUUAAGCAGAAUGCGGCUAUAGCUUCACUGCCACAGCUGAGAAGGAAAAUGAACAUAACAAAAAGAAGCUGUGUUAGAUUGUUGUGGACUUUGAGCAUGAGAUGGCUACUGUUACUUCCUCCUUAUUUAAGAAGAGCUGCAGACUACCUAAUGAUCAGAGGAUCACUAUCAGUAGUAAAAAGCUGGAAGUUUCCAAAGGCUUUCUGACAACCAUUCUUUCUAGGUAUGAGUACUGCAACAUUCAUGAGCCACUUUAAACUUGACCAUGAAAUGUGAUGUUGAUAAGAAACAGACUUAUAGGUCAACACGGAGUUGUCUGGUGAUACUGCUAUGUGUCUUGGCAUUGCUUAUAACACUAAAAGCAAGAGGCGUAUCUUUACCCUGAAGAUACACAAGAAAAAAACACAGAAAAAAAAUCACAGCCUUGGUACCAAACACUAAAAAAUUAAAAUGAUU
rnacentral:lncRNA from 1 species